rnacentral:lncRNA from 1 species
GUUGGGGUCCCGCCGUCCUGAGGCUCGAGCUCUUGCGGGUCGAUCGGUCGGCGGGGCCUGCGCGGGGCCCGGGCCCAUGGCGGCGUCGGCGGCUCUGUCUGCGGCGGCGGCGGCGGCAGCCCUGUCUGGCUUGGCGGUUCGGCUGUCGCGCUCGGCGGCGGCCCGAGGCUCAUACGGCGCCUUCUGCAAGGGGCUCACGCGCACGCUGCUCACCUUCUUCGACCUGGCCUGGCGGCUGCGCAUGAACUUCCCCUACUUCUACAUCGUGGCCUCGGUGAUGCUCAACGUCCGCCUGCAAGUGCGGAUCGAGUGA